rnacentral:rRNA from 1 species
UGGGGAAUAUUGCACAAUGGGCGCAAGCCUGAUGCAGCCAUGCCGCGUGUGUGAAGAAGGCCUUCGGGUUGUAAAGCACUUUCAGCGGGGAGGAAGGCGGUGAGGUUAAUAACCUCAUCGAUUGACGUUACCCGCAGAAGAAGCACCGGCUAACUCCGUGCCAGCAGCCGCGGUAAUACGGAGGGUGCAAGCGUUAAUCGGAAUUACUGGGCGUAA